rnacentral:rRNA from 1 species
AAAAAUUUAAUGGCUGCAGUAUUUUAACUGUACAAAGGUAGCAUAAUAAUUAGUUCCUUAAUUAGGGGCUGGAAUGAAGGAUUGAACGAGAUAAAAAUUGUCUCUUUUUAAGUUUUAUAAUUUUAUUUUUAAGUUAAAAAGCUUAAAUAAUAUUAAAAGACGAGAAGACCCUAUAGAGUUUUAUAAUUAUAAUAUAUUUAAAUUUUGGAAAUAAAAUUUUACUUAUAUAAUUAUUAUUUGAUUGGGGUGAUUUUAAAAUUUAGAAAACUUUAAUAUUUUUUACAUUUAUAUAUGAUUAAUUGAUCCAUACAUUAUGAUUAAAAGAUUAAAUUACCUUAGGGAUAACAGCGUAAUUUUUUUUAAGAGUUCUUAUCGAAAAAAAAGAUUGCGACCUCGAUGUUGGAUUAAAAUAAAUUUUUGGUGUAGAAGCUGAAAUAUUAGGUCUGUUCGACCUUUAAAAUUUUACAUGAUCUGAGUUUAAAUCGGCGUGAGCCAGGUUGGUUUCUAUCUUUAAUUAAAUAAAAUAUUUUAGUACGAAAGGACCAUAUAUUUAUAAAAUUUAUUUAUUUAGGAUUAAUAUUA